CAAGUCGAGUGCGCGUACCGUAGCAAUACGGUAUGGCGCACGGCGCACGGGUGCGUAACACGUGGGCAAUCUGCCCUUCGAUGGGGAAUAACUUCGGGAAACCGAAGCUAAUUCCGCAUAACAUUCCUUGGACUUCGGUUCGAGGACUCAAAGCCGUAAGGCGUCGAAGGAGGAGCCCGCGCCCGAUUAGCUAGUUGGUGAGGUAAUGGCUCACCAAGGCAAUGAUCGGUAGCUGGUCUGAGAGGAUGGCCAGCCACACUGGAACUGAGACACGGUCCAGACUCCUACGGGAGGCAGCAGUGGGGAAUCUUGCGCAAUGGGCGAAAGCCUGACGCAGCGACGCCGCGUGGGGGAUGAAGCAUUUCGGUGUGUAAACCCCUUUCGACUGGGACGAAUGCCUCGCAAGAGGAGUGACGGUACCAGUAGAAGAAGCCCCGGCUAACUACGUGCCAGCAGCCGCGGUAAGACGUAGGGGGCCAGCGUUGUUCGGAAUUACUGGGUGUAAAGGGUUCGUAGGCGGUGCGGCAAGUUGGGAGUGAAAUCUCUGGGCUUAACCCAGAGGCUGCUUCCAAAACUGCUGUGCUUGAGUGUGGGAGAGGCGCGUGGAAUUGCAGGUGUAGCGGUGAAAUGCGUAGAUAUCUGCAGGAACACCCGUGGCGAAAGCGGCGCGCUGGACCACAACUGACGCUGAGGAACGAAAGCUAGGGGAGCAAACAGGAUUAGAUACCCUGGUAGUCCUAGCCCUAAACGAUCAGGACUUGGGGUGCCACCCGUUCGGGUGUCGUCCCGGAGCUAACGCGUUAAGUCCUGCACCUGGGGAGUACGGUCGCAAGACUGAAACUCAAAGGAAUUGACGGGGGGCCC
rnacentral:rRNA from 1 species